rnacentral:lncRNA from 1 species
AUGGGAUGGACACUGGAAGGACAUGGGAGGGACAUGGGAGGGACACGGGAUCUACAUGGGACACGGGUUGGACACGGGAUGGACAUGGGAGGGACAUGGGAAGGCCAUGGGAUCUACAUGGGACACAGGAUGACACGGGAGGGACAUGGGAGGGACAUGGGAGGGACAUGGGACAUAGGAUGGACACAGGAUGGACACAGGAUCUACAUGGGACAUGGGAAGGACAUGGGAUGGACACAGGAUGGACAUGGGAUGGACAUGGGAGGGACACGGGAGGGACAUAGGACAUGGGAAGGACAUGGGAUGUACAUGGAAUAUGGGAAUGACACGGGAUGGACACAGGACAUGGGAAGGACAUGGGAUGGACACGGGAAGGACAUGGGAUCUACAUGGGACAUGGGUUGGACAUGGGAGGGACAUGGGAUCUACACGGGACAUGGGAUGAACAUGGGAAGGACACAGGAUCUACACGGGACAUGGGAUGCACACGAGACAGACAUGGGAUCUACAUGGGAAGGACAUGGGAUGGACACAGGAUGGACAUGGGAGGGACACGGGAUCUACACGGGAUGCACACGGAAUGGACACGGAAUCUACAUGGGACAUGGAAAGGACAGAGGAUGGACAUGGGAUGGACAUGGGAAGGACAUGGGAUGGACACGGGAUCUACAUGGGACACAGGAUGGACAGGGGAUGGACAUGGGAUGGACAUGGGAUGGACACGGGAUCUACAUGGGAUGGACACGGGAAGAACAUGGGAUGGACACAGGAUGGACAUGGAAUGGACACUGGAUCUACACGGGACAUGGGAUGGACAGGGGAUCUACACGGGAUGGACACAGGAAGGACAUGGGAGGGACAUGGGAUCUACACGGGACACAGGAUGGACACAGGAUCUACAUGGGACAUGGGAUAGACACAGGGUGGACACGGGAAGGACACAGGAGAGACAUGGGAGGAACAUGGGAUCUACAUGGGACAUGGGAUGGACAUGGGAAGGACACAGGAUGGACACGGGAGGGACAUGGGAUCUACACGGGAUGGACACAGGAAGGACAUGGGAGGGACAUGGGAUCUACACGGGACACAGGAUGGACACAGGAUCUACAUGGGACAUGGGAUAGACACAGGGUGGACACGGGAAGGACACAGGAUCUACACGGGAUGGACACAGGAAGGACAUGGGAGGGACAUGGGAUCUACACGGGACACAGGAUGGACACAGGAUCUACAUGGGACAUGGGAU